rnacentral:rRNA from 1 species
UGAGCAAUCUGCCCUUCUCAUCGGAAUAAGCGUUGGAAACGACGUCUAAUGCCGAAUACGACCUCCUUUCGCAUGAUCGGAGGUGGAAAGCUCCGGCGGAGAAGGAUGAGCUCGCGGCCUAUCAGCUAGUUGGUGUGGGUAAUGGCCCACCAAGGCGACGACGGGUAGCCGGCCUGAGAGGGUGACCGGCCACACUGGGACUGAGACACGGCCCAGACUCCUACCGGAGCAG